rnacentral:rRNA from 1 species
CCUACGGGGGGCAGCAGUGAGGAAUAUUGGUCAAUGGCCGUAAGGCUGAACCAGCCAAGUCGCGUGAGGGAAGACUGCCCUAUGGGUUGUAAACCUCUUUUAUGAGGGGAUAAAGGUGUGCACGUGUGGAUGUUUGCAUGUACCGCAUGAAUAAGGACCGGCUAAUUCCGUGCCAGCAGCCGCGGUAAUACGGAGGAUCCGGGCGUUAUCCGGAUUUAUUGGGUUUAAAGGGCGCGUAGGCGGGACUUUAAGCGUGCGGUGAAAUUUUGUGGCUCAACCAGGAGAGUGCGGCUCGAACUGGAGACCUUGAGUACGCGGAAGGCAGGCGGAAUGCGUGGUGUAGCGGUGAAAUGCUUAGAUAUCACGAAGAACCCCGAUUGCGAAGGCAGCCUGCCGAAGCGUUACUGACGCUGAAGCUCGAAAGCGUGGGUAUCGAACAGGAUUAGAUACCCUAGUAGUC